UACGUAGGUCCCGAGCGUUGUCCGGAUUUAUUGGGCGUAAAGCGAGCGCAGGUGGUUUAUUAAGUCUGGUGUAAAAGGCAGUGGCUCAACCAUUGUAUGCAUUGGAAACUGGUAGACUUGAGUGCAGGAGAGGAGAGUGGAAUUCCAUGUGUAGCGGUGAAAUGCGUAGAUAUAUGGAGGAACACCGGUGGCGAAAGCGGCUCUCUGGCCUGUAACUGGCACUGAGGCUCGAAAGCGUGGGGAGCAACCAGG
rnacentral:rRNA from 1 species